CUAGACGGCAUCACUGUUUUAGAAGAAGAGUUUCUUCAGUGGUGGCCUUGGAGAAGAAGAAGAAGCCUCUUUCUGGGCGGAAGAAUCGGCGUCGUAGGAGAAGAACACCACCGAAAACCUGACACCACCAAUUAAGGCCGACGAGUCCUCCGACAAUCUAGCUCCGCAGUCCUGUAAGAGAGAUGAUGAAGUUGUUGGGGAUCGGACUAGACGCCGUCAUUCGGGGAAGGAACAUGGCGGAGAUCAAGAGGACGUUGCUGAUGGUUCCUGAGCUGGUGAGAAUGACGAGGAAGGUGGGGACAUAGAUCCAGGGCGGAGGGACGAGAUGCAGAAGAUCGCCGGCGUCAAGUUCUAGUCUUGAUGAGUCGAUGUGAAGAGAGAGAGAGGGGGAGUGCGG
rnacentral:lncRNA from 1 species